rfam:Oryza nivara chromosome 6, whole genome shotgun sequence.
AUUAAGCAUAGUCACGAGUUUCUGUGUCUAAAUUUGAUCUUCUGUUUUAUUUUAAAAAAAAGUAUGAUUCGUAUUUUUAUUAUUAUUAGAUGAUAAAACAUAAAUAUAUUAUUUUAUGCGUGACUUGUGUUUUUAAAUAUUUUUAGAAAUUUUUUAAAAUAAAACGAAUAAUUAAAGCUAGACACGAAAACUCAUGGUUGUGUUUAAA